rnacentral:lncRNA from 1 species
UUUACUUAAACUCUUUUAAGAGUGGUUUCAGACAGAUAUUCUUAUGAAUUGUACUCUGUACAUCUUGCAUGUAUAAGUCGGGUACGAAAGGCUGAUCACCUUCAUUACCAGUUGGUCCAGAUAUACUAUUGUUCCUGUUCAAUACUUGUUCAGUCAAAACUUUGUUCAUGCUAAUUCACAAAUACAUUGUGAAGGAUAGCCAGCUUAUUAUUCAAACUCUUUCAAUCAUGAUAUAUCUUUACCUUGUUUUUAAACUUGCUAGGCAACUUUCAUGCUCACCCUUGCUAUAUCAUGAUAAAACAUUGCAGAUAAGGCGAAUACGGCCAGUUACAGGAAAAGGAAAAUGCCAAGUUCAGCUUGGGAUAGAAUGUGCAGCUAAUUUGUAAAAGUAUGGUUGAAGAAUAGUAUUGUUAUGUGUUAGAUAGUUUAUGAUUUAUGUAUAAGUUAAG